rnacentral:rRNA from 1 species
GACGAACGCUGGCGGCGUGCUUAACACAUGCAAGUCGAACGGAAAGGCCUGCAGCUUGCUGCGGGUACUCGAGUGGCGAACGGGUGAGUAACACGUGGGUGAUCUGCCUUGCACUUCGGGAUAAGCUUGGGAAACUGGGUCUAAUACCGGAUAGGACAGCUGUUUAGUGUCAGUUGUGGAAAGUUUUUUCGGUGCAAGAUGAGCUCGCGGCCUAUCAGCUUGUUGGUGGGGUAAUGGCCUACCAAGGCGUCGACGGGUAGCCGGCCUGAGAGGGUGUACGGCCACAUUGGGACUGAGAUACGGCCCAGACUCCUACGGGAGGCAGCAGUGGGGAAUAUUGCACAAUGGGCGGAAGCCUGAUGCAGCGACGCCGCGUGGGGGAUGAAGGCCUUCGGGUUGUAAACUCCUUUCGACAGGGACGAGGCUUUUGUGACGGUACCUGGAUAAGAAGCACCGGCUAACUACGUG